rfam:Stegodyphus mimosarum contig70103, whole genome shotgun sequence.
GCCCUCGUGGUUUAAUGGUCAGCACAUUGGGCGCGCAUUCAAGAGGUCCGAGGUUCGAGUCCCGGCGAGGGCA